GCCCUGGUGGCACAAUGGUUAAGCGUUUGGUUGUUAACCAAAAGGUUGGUAGUUUGAAUCCACCCUAUGGCU
rnacentral:tRNA from 1 species